UACGUAGGGUGCAAGCGUUGUCCGGAAUUAUUGGGCGUAAAGAGCUCGUAGGCGGUCUGUCGCGUCUGCUGUGAAAACUCGGGGCUUAACCCCGGGCCUGCAGUGGGUACGGGCAGGCUAGAGUGCGGGAGAGGAGAGUGGAAUUCCUGGUGUAGCGGUGAAAUGCGCAGAUAUCAGGAAGAACACCCGUGGCGAAGGCGGCUCUCUGGAACGCAACUGACGCUGAGACGCGAAAGCGUGGGGAGCAAACAGG
rnacentral:rRNA from 1 species